rnacentral:sRNA from 2 species
GCACAAUAGAAGAAGUUAUAGACAAUGGAAGUUUGGUGCAAAUCCAACGCGGUCCCGCCACUGUAAUAGGCCGAUGAGCUCGGUCUUAAGUCAGGUCUUUUGUCUAGUAACUUUGCCAGGCCAGUCAUUUCGAGGCGAAAGUGACUGGUUUAC